GGAUUGCAGGCUGAAACCCGCCUGUAUGAAGUUGGAAUCGCUAGUAAUCGCGGAUCAGCAUGCCGCGGUGAAUACGUUCCCGGGCCUUGUACACACCGCCCGUCACACCAUGAGAGUCGGGAACACCCGAAGUCCGUAGCCUAACAGCAAUGGGGGCGCGGCCGAAGGUGGGUUCGAUAAUUGGGGUGAAGUCGUAACAAGGUAAC
rnacentral:rRNA from 1 species